rnacentral:rRNA from 1 species
UGCGUAGGUGGUGAGGUAAGUCGGAUGUGAAAUCUCCAAGCUCAACUUAGAAAUGGCAUUGGAAACUACCUUGCUGGAGGUUUGGAGGGGGGACUGGAAUUCUUGGUGUAGCAGUGAAAUGCGUAGAUAUCAAGAGGAACACCAGUGGCGAAGGCGAGUCCCUGGACAACACCUGACACUGAGGCACGAAAGCUAGGGGAGGCAAACA